rnacentral:tRNA from 1 species
GGAGGGAUUCCCGAGCGGCCAAAGGGAGCAGACUGUAAAUCUGCCGGCUCAGCCUUCGAAGGUUCGAAUCCUUCUCCCUCCACCAUUC